rnacentral:lncRNA from 1 species
UAUGCUCUAUUUGCUGAAGAGGGUUCAGUGCAGUGUCUUCAAAGGUCGGGAAAAAAUGUUAUGAUGCAGAGGGGACAUCAUCUUGAAGGGAGCAAUGUUUUGAUACUUGCUUUAUAGGAAUUCUCUUUCUUUGCCUAGAACUUGUGAUUUAUGGCUGAUGACUAUUCCAUCUUUGCAGGUGCUUCUCAAUUAUAGAUGGAAAACUUGCCAUGGAGGCACAUAGCUUGCUGAUUUUGUUUCUGGAUUGGCCCUUGAGAGGGAGACCGACGCAAACUUCAGCAGGUUUCAGGUCUGCGACCUCUAUUCCUUGUGUUUGUUUCCCUCGCUGAGCUUGGGCAUUGUACAUUUUGGUAAAUAUAGUUAGUUACUUUGUUUACUGGCAAUUGUGAAUAUUCAGAGCACAUACAUGCUUGGUUUACUUCAGUUAGUACCUGCCAUUCAGUAAUCAGGCCUGAAGAAAGUGUGCCUCCCUAUUUUGUGCACAUAAAUACUUAGCUUACUGUGACCAAAUUAAGUAAACUUAUACAAUAAGCUUCUUCAUUGUUUCACUUGUGGAAACUAAACUACUACUGUGUUAAAUUCAUUAUAGUCAUCUUUAAAGGAGUUGUGGUUGGUUGCCAUUGUGUUGAAGUAAUUUCUUGCUGAAGC